GGUGAACGCUGGCGGCGUGCUUAAGACAUGCAAGUCGAACGCAGUCUUCGGACUGAGUGGCGCACGGGUGAGUAACACGUAACUGACCUACCCCCAAGUCGCGAAUAACCAGCCGAAAGGAUGGCUAAUACGUGAUGUGAUGAUCCGCUGUGGCGGAUCAUUAAAGACUUGAUCGCUUGGGGAUGGGGUUGCGUUCCAUCAGCUAGUUGGUAAGGGAAAGGCUUACCAAGGCAACGACGGAUAGCCGGCCUGAGAGGGUGGCCGGCCACAGGGGCACUGAAACACGGGUCCCACGCCUACGGGAGGCAGCAGUUAGUGAUCUUCCACAAUGGGCGCAAGCCUGAUGGAGCGACGCCGCGUGAGGGAUGAAGGUUCUCGGAUCGUAAACCUCUGAACCAACGACGAAAGACCCGACAAGGGAGAUGACGGUAGUUGGGUAAUAGCACCGGCUAACUCCGUGCCAGCCGCCGCUGUAACAC
rnacentral:rRNA from 1 species